UACGAAGGACCCAAGCGUUAUCCGGAUUUAUUGGGUUUAAAGGGUGCGUAGGCGGGUUAUUAAGUCAGUGGUGAAAUCCUGCAGCUUAACUGUAGAAGUGCCUUUGAUACUGUCGGUCUUGAGGGAAAUAGGGGUGUGCGGAACUUCCAGUGGAGCGGUGAAAUGCGUUGAUAUUGGAAGGAACGCCGGAGGCGAAAGCGGCGCACUGGAUUUCUUCUGACGCUGAGGCGCGAAAGCUAGGGGAGCAAACGGG
rnacentral:rRNA from 1 species